rnacentral:rRNA from 1 species
GACGAACGCUGGCGGCGUGCUUAACACAUGCAAGUCGAACGGAAAGGCCCUGCUUUUGUGGGGUGCUCGAGUGGCGAACGGGUGAGUAACACGUGAGUAACCUGCCCUUGACUUUGGGAUAACUUCAGGAAAUUGGGGCUAAUACCGGAUAGGAGCUCCUGCUGCAUGGUGGGGGUUGGAAAGUUUCGGCGGUUGGGGAUGGACUCGCGGCUUAUCAGCUUGUUGGUGGGGUAGUGGCUUACCAAGGCUUUGACGGGUAGCCGGCCUGAGAGGGUGACCGGCCACAUUGGGACUGAGAUCCGGCCCAGACUCCUACGGGAGGCAGCGGGGGGGAAUAUUGCACAAGGGGCGGAAGCCUGAUGCAGCAACCCCGCGUGCGGGAUGACGGCCUUCGGGUUGGAAACCGCUUUCGCCUGUGACGAAGCGUGAGUGACGGUAAUGGGGAAAGAAGCACCGGCUAACUACGU